rnacentral:rRNA from 1 species
UACGUAGGGUCCGAGCGUUGUCCGGAAUUAUUGGGCGUAAAGGGCUCGUAGGCGGUCCGUUACGUCGGGAGUGAAAACUCGGAGCUCAACUCCGAGCCUGCUUCCGAUACGGGCAGACUAGAGGUAUGCAGGGGAGAACGGAAUUCCUGGUGUAGCGGUGAAAUGCGCAGAUAUCAGGAGGAACACCGGUGGCGAAGGCGGUUCUCUGGGCAUUACCUGACGCUGAGGAGCGAAAGUGUGGGGAGCGAACAGG